UUUAAAUAAUACAAUUUUAUUAGCACUCUGUGUGGAUUUUUAUUUGUACAAUGAUAAAAAUGCAUUUAAAAAUUGCUGGUUUUAACAGAACACAGUUAAAUCUGUUUUCCUUAUUCAGAUUUACUCAAAAAUUCUGAAGAGAAUAAGAAGUAAAAAUAUGUAUUAUAUUUCUGAAAAACCUUACAGAAACCAAAAACCUUGUAUCAUAAUUUUAUAACAAAGGAGCCCAAAUGUAGUAGAAUAAGUGUGUCUGAGGCAUAGCUUGCUGGCCCAAGCCCACAGUGUGUGGCAAAUGGAGCAUCUUAAAGAAAGGGGCACAAAUACAGGUGUGAGCAAGACCUUUGUUUAUAACCAUGAAAUGUAAGUCCCUGAAAUUGUAAUCAGAAUUUUAUUGAACUUGGUUUGAUUUCUAAACAUGCAGAUAAGCAAUAUACACACAAACUGCAUUUUGUCAAUACAGCAAGGAGAGGUACAAGGACUGCCUUGGAGGUAAUGUGUUUGAUUGCCUGAAAGAAGUAACAGAUAAAAGAACUCACAAAACUCGCUCAUAAAUUUUUUUCCUUGGCAAUAAUACUAUCCCCUACCAAUAAAUCUUUUGGAAACACUGCUGGAAUAAUCAUAUUCAUGAAAUUUAAAAAUCACAUUGGGACUAACAUAAACUUGUUAUGCAUUAAAGAAACAAACCCAGACAGUUAAAUAGUAUAGAACAAUUACCAAAGAAGGCUUGGGGGUGUAGCUCACUGAUAGAGUACAUAUUUUUUUAAGACAGGGGUUAAUUUUAAUAAAUAAAUUCUCAUCCUUGAUUAAACACUAAAUAUAGUAAAUGGCUGACUUAGAUUCCAAUUUUGACAAUUCUCCUUUUUUUUAACACUAAGUUGCAUUUUUAUUAUUUCUUUUUUUUUUAAUUGGUUGCUCAAGCAAGGUCUUGGAUUAAACCCCAGCACAUCAAAAUGAAAGGAAAGAAACUACCAAGAAACAAUUUUAAAAUUGACCUGAAAUAUUUUAUUAUCAAAAUUUUUACAAAGAAAUUAGCAACAGGGGCUGAGAUUAUGGCUCAGUGGUAGAACACUUGUAUUGCAUGUAUGAAAUGGGUUUUAUUCUCAGCCUCUCAUUUAAAUUAAUGGAUAAAAUAAAGGUCUGUCAACAACUCAAAAAAAAAAAAAAAGACAGGAAAAAAAAGAAAUUAGUGACAAAAAUCACUUUCAUCAAGUGAAUGUCCAAACAACCCUCAAAAUUAUCUACAGAAUGGCAGAUAAUUGGUAUGAUGUGUCACCUUAUUAUAAUACAAUACAGUAAGGUGAAACAUCAUACAAUGUUUAAUGUACAAUUCACACUAAGAAAUGAACAAAGUGAAAGUUAGUAGUCCAUUUGAAAUUUUCAAAUUUUUCAGUAAAAAUUAUCAUGAUUGUGUGACUAAUUAUUAAUAUAUUCUGAAUGUUUUACUAUCAUCAAUUACUGUUUUAAACCUUCAAACAAUGAUGGGCACAGUGGCACACAGAUAAAAUCCCAUCUACUCAGGAGGCUAAAGCAGGAGGAUUACAAGUUCAAGGCAAAGAGCAGAGGAUCCAUAAUGUAGUGAGACAAAAUAAAAAGGUUUGGGGAUAUAGUUCAGUGAUAGUUCAAUAAUACCACUGGGGUGGAUGUGGGGCAUUUUGACUAUAUACAUUUUAGUAGUCAAAUUCUAAUUCUCUGUGAAUGUAAUCACUCUUAUUUCACUGAUGAUAAAACUGAAAUAAAAUCUUCUUAAGUAUUUUUCCAGUGCACAUAAUGUGUAAUUAGCAAAGGUAAGGUUACAAUCGUGUGUGUUUCUGAGACUCAUGUUUAAUUACUAAGUAUCAGUGCUUCACUAUUUUAAUAUAUAUGUGUAUGUAUAAAUAUGUGUGUAUUUUUAUGUGUACAUAUAUACAUGUAGGUCACAAAAGGCUUUUCAAAUGUAAAUUGUGUUUUCUUUGAUAACUAUCAAUAAGUAAUAUGAAAGAAAAGUUGUAAAAUAUGGUUCAAGGAAAUCUUUCUGAAACUAAAGAGAUUUUAUUACCAAGAGUGAAGAAACAAGACACCAUAUUGGGAAAGGAUAAAAGAAAAAUACAGAGUGCUUAGGGUAACGCAUAACCUACAAGAUUGAAUAGGCUUUAACUUGAUAAUUAUCAAUAAAGAAAUUCUAAAUACAAUUUUCACAAAAAGAAACCAUUGACACAUUAAAACAAUAAAAUUCAAUGACACAUAGUAUUUAUUCUAAAAAAGCAAAGAUCCCAAUAUGUUAAGCUAUUGAUCAGGCACUAUAGCUGUGUGUAAAGAAUUAAUAUAUCUAGGGGAGAUCCACAAUGGUGAAGUAGAGGGAGGCUGCAUUCCUUUUUAUUCUGGGACUCGGGCGGGAUUCAAGCAGAGGAAAUAUACUGUUUCUCUGCUAGACAGCCCUUGCUGCUCAUCAAUCCUCUGCUCUUUGCCCCCCACUUGUCUGCUCAAUUACCAGCCUUUUGCCAAUAUAUCGCCUUCCUUUCACAUACAGAUCUCCUGGUGACCUCUGCCAACCACCCACCAGUUGCCCAUUUGCCUGCCCCUUGCCCACAUUUAACCUCCCUGUUGCUGCCUGUAAGUUCAUUUUCAGGUACCUGCAGAUUUGGUCACAUACAGCUACCAUCAUUUUGGGACAUCAGCCAGGACCUGGGAGUACAAGGCCAAGAGGCCUGUCAGCUUGCUGCUGUCACCCCCACCAUCUUGGAGCAUGGCUGCUUCAGUCUGAGGACACUGGCCAAGGCCUGGGAAUAUAUUGUUCUGGUACUUGCAGGUCUGGUUGCACCAGAGGUCUUCUUGCUGGGUGUACUAGUGACCCUCAUAUGGCCGCCUCUUUGCAGGAUUGCUCCUUUGUGUGGGGGCAUCCUUGGUGGUCUCUCUGCAAGUUGGAAUGGCAAUGAGCUCCUGGGGCUUCUACAAGACAGAGCUUGGGAAAUCUGAAGCCCAGGUCCGUCAGAUUGCACCUGAGACUGUAGGAGCCAGUCUGGGCCUUGCAAGCCUGCAGAAAGCCAGAGACUAGGGACAGUUUCCCUGGAGGAACACAAGUUGGAGAAACUGGAGAAUACCUGGAUCUCCCCAGCUCAGUGAGUCCUGAAGUGGGCAGAAAUGGAAGGGGUCAGCUAUAAGGGGAGGUAAGGCUGGAAGAGGUCAUGAAGGCAUCUUUCAACUCACUUGCCUAGCCAACCAGUCUGGCACCCAAUAGAGUAGAACUACCAUUAAACUUCAGACACCCCCACCUAUCCAUGGAGAAGUGAAACUGAGAAAAAUUUUGAAAGACAACAGAAGCAAUUAGUCAAUUUUCCAGAGACUUUCCUCCCCAGUCCAUAUCUCUACCAUCUUUGAAUCCAAAUAAAUUU
rnacentral:lncRNA from 1 species